rnacentral:lncRNA from 1 species
GUGCGGCCACCGUCAUCCCAGCGCCGUGCGAGAGUGUUCAGGAGGAUCGCCCUGGUCGUCUCCAUCGUCUGCGCUCGCAAAGUCAAGACGGAGAGCCCCACCGAGCCAGAUCCUCAUCGUCUUCAACCUCCGGCCGCCUCAAUGCUAUCGUGAUGCCGUCGCCGCGAUUCCUCGCCAUCUGCGCUCCUAAGCUGUCAACGAGCCUCCGUGCGCUCCUCGGUGAGCCCCGUGCCUUUGACCUCCGCCUCCCCUUCGGUCUGCUAUCCCUAGCCGCCGCGCCACCCUUGCCGUAGUUCGUUGCCGCCGUCGUGCUUGCUGCCGUUGUUGUAGUGCUUCCCCGGCUCAGGCGAGCACACCACGGUGCUUCUGGCAUCGCGUGGGAGCUGCCUAGCCCUUCGGUGCUUCGCGUGGGUACUUCUAGCACCGUCCCCCUCGAGUUUUUGCUCUGGCCGCCGCUCACCGUCGUUGUUGCCGUCACCUUAAGUCGGUCCCGCCUGAUCUAGUAGCACUAGUGGACGCGCGACGUCUUGCUCGCCCCCGACCGCACUCGUCGCUGCCCCAUGGCCUUCUGCGCGUGCGCCACCACGCCCGACGCUGGCCACCGCUCGCCCUUGCCGCGUCCAGGGCAUGCCCCCGCAGCCGCCCGCGGUCCCUGCUCCGCCUACUAUCGUUGCUGCUGCGCUGCUUCAGCUCCUGCUGUUGGUGUUGUGGCGCUGCAGCUGCUCUGCUUACCGCUGCGGCUCUCUGCUCCGCUGCCUUAGCCGCCUGAGCUCUCCUGCUGCUGCUUCUUGCUAUUGCUGAUGCUGCAUAGCUACCGCCGCCGCCACUGUUCCUUAGCUGCUGUAGCUGCUGUUUGCUGGUCGCUCUCGCUCGUAGCUGCCAAGUUUGUUUGCUGAAGAAAUAACUGACGAAACUGAAUUGACGUAUAAGGUACUGAAGAAACCCAUCAGACUACCAGAGAGCGCCCCGUCCAAGCUUGGUCUUGUGCGUUGUGUGCAUGAGUGUGUGUUCUGUGUGUGUGGCCGGCCAAAUGCUAGUUUAGGGACUAGUUUAGUUAGUUAGUCUAAUUAGUAGUACUCUAUUAAUUAAUUAGUCUAAUAGUAGAUGACAUGUGGACCCAUUUUUAGUUUAAAGAAAAACGAAUUAUCAGAAAAGUAAGUCAAUGACGUGUGGCCCCCACACUAUUCAUAUGUUGACUAGUCAACUGUUGACUUUGACCCUGACCCCACCUGUCAUAUACUAUGGCUAGAGUAGCACUAGGUGACAAACCUGAUUCCUGUUUUAUUCUCGAAUUAAUAAUAAAUCCAGAAAAUGUUUAAAUCUUUUAAAUUUAUAGAAAGUAAACCGUAACUCGGAUGAAAAUGUUUUCUACAUGAAAGUUGCUCAGAACGACGAGGCGAAUCCGGAUACGCGGUCCAUUCAUCUAUCACAUGCCCCUAGCAUGCUGAACAUGGAACCUUCCCCCUCCAGUCAUCUGUCUGACACAGGUUCGGAACCGGGAAAACAUUCCCGGUUGACUUCCCCCCUCGCCGGUAUCGUGUAGCACCGCGUUAGAACACGUCUAGCUCUGCUUGUUGUCCUGUUAUGCUAUGUUUGCUUUAUAUUUACUAUUCCUUCCCCUUCUUCUCUCCGGUAGACCCCGAGACCGAUGCCGCCCCUGUGAUCGACUACGUCGACGAUGACCCCUCCUUGCCAGAGCAACCAGGCAAGCCUCCCCUUUGAUCAUCCCGAUAUCGCCCAUUCCAUUCUCUUAUGCUUGCAUUAGAUCUUGCUACUGUUAUUGAUUGCUCCUAUUCUGAUGCAUAGCCUGCUUUCGUAUCUGCUGUUGUACCUUACCUGUUGUUCCUAAACUGCUUAGUAUAGGUUGGUUAGUGAUCCAACAGUGACCCCCACCUUGUCCUUGUUGCCCCUGCUUCAUCAUUAAAGACCCGAUCAACGGGAUCGAAGACCAGGCCCCGGCACCGCACAUCACUUUCCCCUUAGUUGCUCGACACUGCUGGGUUACUAUCGAGUGCCGAGGGUGAGACCUCUACAGCACUUCUGAUAUUAACCCUGUAGUGUAGCUAUUCGCCGGUCGUGGUCAUCGAGGGUGAUUCCGCCUUAACCACUUCCGAUACGACUCUGUCGUGCAACCCCUCAAGUGUGAACAUCGGGGUUGAUUCCUCUUACGUUCACCUUGAUGAUUACAUCGAGUGGAGUUCACCGGGGGUGAUUCCUCGGGUUUUCCCCUUGACGAUUGGACACACGGAUACUUGGACUUUACAACUGUUACAUGGAAAGGCGGGUCGACCGUGAGGGGUACCCGCGAGUGAUGUGGAGACGGGCUGACCUGGAGUGUGCCCGCGAGAUAAUUACGAGGCGUGGCCGGGCAUUCCUAGCCCUUGCCGCAAGUCCUCGAGACGGGGCAACGGGGUCACAUCUUUCGUGAGUAUCUGCUUGUUACCGCGCGUUCCUAAUCCACUAUGAUUUGGAUAUUUGAUCCGAGGGGCCUCUGGCCUGAUAGCACUAACCAUCACGUGGGCAUAGUAUGGGCGUUCUACAUCGUAUACAUCAGCCGAAGCUUAAUAGACGUCAGCGACUGAGCGGCGCGCGCCGGGUUGGACUGCGUAAGCACCUGCCUUGUUGAAGGAGGUAGCUAGGUCUGCUCACCGUCCGCGUAAGCAACGUGCAGGAGUUUCCAGGGAGAUGGCCCAUGACCCCUGGGGGCAUAGGUUUAGUCCGGUAUGCUGGCCUCUCUAUUAAGCCUAGGUCGGGUUGCGGCGUAUUGUUUGGGCGAGGCCGGGCAUGACCCAGGAAAGUGUGUUCGGCCGGAGUUAAGCGAGUGUGGUGGGUAAGUUGGUGCACCCCUGCAGGGAAGAACUAAUCUAUGCAUAGCCUGUCCUACGGUAACGGACACUUGGAGUUGUAUCCGAAAUGAUACAACUAGAACUGGAUACUUGUGAUGAGAAUUGGAUGGUGAUGAGAAUUGGAUUGUGAUAACAAAUGGAUAGUAUGGCUCUGGGAUUGCUUUCUCGCAGGGAGUCAAGGAAGGAUCUCUGGCCGAGGUUGAUAACACUACUACUACUUUACUUUAUGCUACUCUACUCCCUCCUGUUGCUACAAGAUGGUGGUUUCCAGAAGAUGCUAGUCUUAGAUAGGACUAGGCCUUCUCUCUAUUAUGGCAUUUCUGCAGCCUAGUCCACAUAUACAGCCUUCCAUUGAUAAUGUUGCACCUGUAGUGUAGAUCCUUGCUUGCGAGUACUUUGGAUGAGUACUCACGGUUGCUUUGCUCCCUCUUUUUCCCCUUUUCCAUUCUUCUCGGAUGAUGCAACCAGAUGUCAGAGCCCAGGAGCCAGAUGCCACCGCCGAUGCCUACUACCACAUGACGGAGACCGCCGAUGACCAGGAGUAGUUAGGAGGCUCCCAGGCAGGAGGCCUUGCCUUUUCGAUCGAUGUUGCUUUUGUGCUAGCCUUCUUAAGGCA